GACUUUCUUUUGUUGUUCUAAUCAGAGCCUUAUAAAACCAAUAGCUUAGCAAAGGGGGUUAGAGACUUUAGUGGUCAUCCACUUCUGUGUAAGAAACCCCUAAUAAACUCACUUACUUGCCAAAGCAGACUUGUCCAAGUUGUUCUUUGGACUGCUGGCCCAUUCCAAUUCAGAGGCAGAUGAUUCUUUUAUGUUUCUCUGAAAAUUGUAUGCUUUAAUUGGCUUUAAUUCUAGCUGACCACAACAGUGUGGUCUCCUACAGCUUCUUUGGCUAUGAUUAAUGCAUUCUGUGACGGAGUCAGGAAGACCCACUGUCUCUGGGACACUCUAGGAGUUUGAACAAGGUGCUGCACACAGCAGUAGUUGUGAUGUGCUCACCAUGACUACUCCUACAGUGGGAACAGUGGCCUUAGCAGGUGAUGAGGAUUUCCUUAGGCACUGUGGAUGCUACACACCUCUACUGCUAACAUGGGCCUCAGGCACUGUGGCCCCUGAAGUGGAUCCCCACUCUUCCCUGCAACAGCCUCACUUGCAGCCUCCUCAUCUCAAGAGCCUCAGCCACAUCCAUACAAACCUGUAUCCCAGCAUGGAAGAGUCAAGUUCACUCUCAUAGAAACCUGACCACCCCAGGGACUUCCUGUUCAGGAAGCAGAAAGAAGAUGGACUGUGACAUAGCGGGUGGAGCCAACUUCAGAACAAACUGCUGAAGUGACAAGCCAUUCCUGAUAUCCAACAGGUGAGCCCUAAGGCACACUUGGGUUAUACCUGUCACAGGUGCUUAGGGACUUGGGCUUAUUAGGCACUCACAGCAUCCAGCAG
rnacentral:lncRNA from 1 species